UGACUACACACGGGACUAACAAACAGGUGCAUUCUAUCUUCGUCAGCAGUGAAGAUACUGUAGCCAAGUGUUGCCAAGGGCACAAGCCAGCGACUCAACAUGUUCACCAUCCAUGAUGAUCUUAUUCAGUCAGAAAAUCAUCAGUGUUUUGGAGCUUCAAAGUUAUUUAAUCCGGCGUUGUACAUUCGCGACUUUACCUGUCAAACCAUGUACUGUGGAGGACAAUCUUAACGUAAUCUUACUGCGGAAACUAAUGUGAUAUUUCAUACACAACACGAGUAUAAAUCUUUAUUCACUGACCGGCGUUGACCAAUUGAUAGCCUGAGAUGUCUAAGUGGCUCAAGUACUCUGGGUGUCGGUUUAACUAUAGGAAGUUGUAC